CCGUUCCGUCAUCUGGCUUAUGUUCUUCAUGUAGCAUUCAGACCGAAUGACUCUAUGAAAUUACGUCGAUACUUCCACAUAUUAUGGGUAACGUAGGAGACAUCUCUAUUUUUUCCCCGGGAAAUCUUUCGAAUUACUAUUACCACUGCUUAGCUUUCAAUUCGCCUCUGACCAUCAAAUCAAAUGUGAAUAACCCGUCCUCCUCUCUUUGAAACAAGGGGCGCUUCUGGUUCUGUCGGUGCUUGAAAC
rnacentral:lncRNA from 1 species